AUGGUAAAACUCCAGGCAUGUUUCUACAUCGAGAAUAAGAAAAACACAGUGGAUGAUGUUCCUUUCUCAAUCCCUGCCAGCUCUGAAGUUACCGAUCUUAGUAACAUUAUCAAUAAAUUGAUGGAGUCCAAAAAUGAACUCCAGAAACAUGUUGAGUUUGAUUUUCUUAUCAAGGGCCAGUUUCUUCUAAUGCCCUUGGUUAAACACAUGGAACUGGAGAACAUUUCAUUGGAAGAGGUUGCAGAACUAGAAUAUUUGGAAAAAUACACCAUUCCCCAGUCAGAGCAGUGCAUGUUCCAUGAUGACUGGAUCAGUUCAAUUAAAGGGGGAAGAAUGGAUCCUGCCUGUCUGAUUCUAGUGAUAAGACUUCUCGGAUCCUUUGAAGGAAAGUCAUUAAGAACAAUUGUGGGACAUACAGAUAUUGUGAAAGAUGUGGCUUAGGUCAAAAAAAGACAGUUUGUCCUGCUUACUACAGACUGUCUCGAUGGAGCAGACUAUUCUCUCAUGGGAGUGGAUAUAGAAAGGACCAAAGUGAAAGCUCUGUACUGCUGCCGAGGGCAUGCUGGGAGUGUGGAUGCCAUAGUAGUCGAUAGCUUGGGAACUAAGUUUUGCAGUGGCUCCUGGGAUUAGAUGCUAAAGAUCUGGUCUACAGUCCCUAGAGAUGAAGAAGAGGAAAUGGAAGAACCCAUAAAUCGACGACGAAAAAAACAAAAAAAAACAAAAAAACAGAACAAUUGGGACUAACAAGAACACCCUUUGUGACCCUCUCUGGCCACACAGAAGCAAUUUACUCAGUCCUUUGGAUCCUUUGAAUAUAUGCUGAGGAAAUCUGCAGUGCAUCUUGGAAUCACACAGUUAGAGUGUGGGAUGUUGAGUCUGGCGGUCUUAAGUCAACUCUGACAGGAAAUAAAGUGUUUAAUUCUAUUUCCUAUUCUCCCCUUUGUAAAUGUUUGGCAUCUGGAAGUACAGACAGCCAUAUUCAAGUAUGGGAUCUCCGAACUAAAGAUGGUUCUUUGGUGUCGCUGUCCCUCACCUCACAUCCAGGCUAGGUAACAUCAGUGAAGUGGUCUCGUACCCAUGAACAGCAGCUGAUCUCGGGCUCGUUAGAUAACAUUGUGAAGCUAUGGGAUACAAGAAGUUGUAAGGCUCCUCCCUAUGAUCUAGCUGCUCAUGAAGACAAAGCUCUAAGUGUGGACUCAACAGACACAGGGAUACUUCUGAGUGGAGGAACAAACAAUAAAUUGUAUUCCUACAGAUAUUUCCCUACCACUUCCCAAGCGGGGCCUUAA